GACAGAGGCCUCAAGCGUUAGGCGGAAUCACUGGGCUUAAAGCGUGUGUAGGCGGAUCGUUAAGUGUCUUGUGAAAUCCCACGGCUCACCCGUGGAACUGCUGGGCAUACUGGCGAUCUUGGGCCAACUAGGGGCAACUGGAACAAGCGGUGGAGCGGUGAAAUGCGUAGAUAUCGUUUGGAACGCCAAUGGUGAAAACAGGCGACUGGGGAUGAGCUGACACUGAGACACGAAAGCCAGGGGAGCAAACGGG
rnacentral:rRNA from 1 species